UUGGAAACAACGAAGGAAUAAGAAUCAAGCUAUUUAAUCAAAGUCUGACUGGAAAAGCCUUGGAGUGGUUAUUCAAUCAAAGUCUGACUGGAAAAGCCUUGGAGUGGUACUCAAAGCAAGAUGUGACUAAAUGGCGUACUUGGGAUGAUCUAGCGAAUGCUUUUUGUGGAUCACUAUAAGUUUCAUGUUGAAAUUGCUCCUGAUAGGAUCUCUAUUACCAAGCUAAAACCAAAGUCGACUGAAUGCUUUCGAGAAUAUGCCAUUCGUUGGAGGGAAGAAGCUGCUAGGGUGCACCCACCCAUGGAGGAAUCAGAAAUGAUCACCUACUUCAUUCAAGCUCAAGACUCAGAAUAUUAUGAGCGAAUGGUGACAAUGGGUGGAAAGACAUUUGCUGAAGUUAUUAAGGCUGGAGAAAUGAUUGAAGACGGUCUCAAGACUGGCCGAAUAACGAGUUACACGUCAUCUCAAUUUGCUAACAGGGCCUAUCAAACUGGUUCCUUUGGAAAGAAAAAGGAUAAAGAGGUUAUGAUGUUAACAACUCGAGGAGCUACCUCAUAUAACCGUCAACCACCUCCAGGCUAUCUUGGUUCACAAUACUAUGUUUGCAACAAUCAAGCAACAUUUCGUCCUCC
rnacentral:lncRNA from 1 species